GCACCUACAUGGCAGCACAUAUACUAAAAUUGGAAUGAUACAGAGAAGGUUAGCAUGGCCCCUGCACAAGAUGACACGAAAAUUCAUGAAACAUUCCAUAUUAAA
rnacentral:snRNA from 1 species